rnacentral:tRNA from 1 species
GUUGUCGUGGCCGAAUGGUUAAGGCGGUGGACAAGAACUCUUUUGGGAUCUUCCCGCGCAGGUUCGAAUCCUGCAGACAUCG